AAUGGUGUAGUUUAAUUUAAGAUAGUUGUUUUGCGUACAUCAGAUAGGGUUUCCUCACUGUUA
rnacentral:tRNA from 1 species